AAGACAUUGUCUCGGAUAGAGGUCCCCAAUUCAUCUCACGUGUCUGGACAGCUUUCUUACAUCUCCUAGGGGUGUCCAUCAGUCUCUUCUCCGGAUACUAUCCUCAAACCAAUGGCCAGACUGAAUGUAAGAUCCAGGAAGUCGGGAGAUUCCUGAGACUGUAUUGCCACCAGAACCAGGACAGCUGGAGCCAAUACCUAUCCUGGGCUGAAUACGCACAGAAUUCACUCCUUCAAACCACCACUGGGCUCACCCCGUUCCAGUAUGUCCUGGGCUAUCAGCCACCUCUCUUCCCCUGGUCGGGUGAGCCCUCCGAGGUUCCAGCUGUCAACCACUGGUUCCAGCAAAGCGUGAGGGUCUGGGACUCGGCUCACGUGAAUCUCCAGAAGGCAGUCCGGAAACACAAGGAACAAGCAGAUGCCCGAAGAGGUCUCACUCCGCAUUACCAACCUGGCCAGAAAGUUUGGCUAUCCACCCAGGACAUCCGUCUCCGGCUGCCUUGCCGUAAGCUGAGUCCCCGGUAUAUUGGUCCAUUCACUAUCGAGAGGCAGCUGAAUGAAGUAACCUACAGACUCAACCUCCCUGCAAACUACCGUAUCUCACCUUCAUUCCAUGUCUCAUUACUUAAACCUCACACUGACCCUUUGUCUCCUCCCUCCACAGAGUCUGGUGAUGAUGCGGUACCUCCUCCUCCUGCCAUCGAUGAGACUCAGAACAUCUACUGGGUAUGGGCCAUCCUCGACUCCAGACGACAUGGAAUACCUUGUGGACUGGGAAGACUACGGCCCCGAGGAACGAUGCUGGGUGAACCACAACAACAUCCUGGACCCUACUCUACUUACCCAAUUCCAUCAGGAACACCCAGAUCGUCCAGCUCCUUAGGGUCGUGGCAGACCCCGUCAUCAACAUCCCGUCCGGUCGUCGGGAGCCGCCCGUGGAGGAGGGGGUACUGUCAUGGAGUCACAGCCUGCACCCUCUCCACACGCCACACCUACUCGUUCACAAUCACCGGAAUUCUGAUCAGCUGUUAUCAACACCAGGCUCUCAUAAAAGGACUAUCACUUACCCUCACUCCUCAUCUGGUCUCGCACCGAUCUCCAUGAACUUACCUGUACUCUCGUUACCUGUGCUGUUCCCC
ensembl:lncRNA